UACGUAGGGUGCAAGCGUUAAUCGGAAUUACUGGGCAUAAAGCGUGCGCAGGCGGUUGUGUAAGACAGAUGUGAAAUCCCCGGGCUCAACCUGGGAACUGCAUUUGUGACUGCACAGCUGGAGUGCGGCAGAGGGGGAUGGAAUUCCGCGUGUAGCAGUGAAAUGCGUAGAUAUGCGGAGGAACACCGAUGGCGAAGGCAAUCCCCUGGGCCUGCACUGACGCUCAUGCACGAAAGCGUGGGGAGCAAACAGG
rnacentral:rRNA from 1 species